rnacentral:rRNA from 1 species
CUACGGGUGGCACCAGUGGGGAAUAUUGCACAAUGGGCGCAAGCCUGAUGCAGCCAUGCCGCGUGUAUGAAGAAGGCCUUCGGGUUGUAAAGUACUUUCAGCGGGGAGGAAGGGAGUAAAGUUAAUACCUUUGCUCAUUGACGUUACCCGCAGAAGAAGCACCGGCGAACUCCGUGCCAGCAGCCGCGGUAAUACGGAGGGUGCAAGCGUUAAUCGGAAUUACUGGGCGUAAAGCGCGCGCAGGCGGUUUGUUAAGUCAGAUGUGAAAUCCCCGGGCUCAACCUGGGAACUGCAUCUGUUACUGGCAAGCUUGAGUCUCGUAGAGGGGGGUAGAAUUCCAGGUGUAGCGGUGAAAUGCGUAGAGAUCUGGAGGAAUACCGGUGGCGAAGGCGGCCCCCUGGACGAAGACUGACGCUCAGGUGCGAAAGCGUGGGGAGCAAACAGGAUUAGAUACCCCUGUAGUC